AGGUUUAGGGUUAGGGUUAGGGUUAGGAUUAGGGUUAGGGUUAGGUUUAAGGAUUAGGGUUAGGGUUAAGGUUUAGGGUUAGGGUUAGGGUCAGGGUCAGGGUUAGGUUUAAGGAUUAGGGUUAGGGUUAGGGUUAGGGUUAGGGUUAGGGUUAGGAUUAGGGUCAGGGUUAGGUUUAAGGAUUAGGGUUAGGGUUAGGGUUAGGGUUAGGGUUAGGAUUAGGGUCAGGGUUAGGUUUAAGGGUUAAGGUUUAGGGUUAGGAUUAGGAUUAGGGUUAGGGUUAGGGUUAGGGUUAAGGUUAGGGUUAGGGUUAGGGUUAAGGUUAGGGUUAGGGUUAAGGUUUAGG
ensembl:lncRNA